ACACACACACACACACACACACACACACACACACAAGCAAGCAAGCACGUAAACGAACAAACAAGCAAACAAACAUGUAUACAUACACACAAACAAAGCGGCGGGAGGCAUACAGACAGACGCAGACAAAUGGCCACAUGGACGGCAGAAAAAUGGCAGCAAUCCCCCACAAUAUUUCCAACCUAAAAAGUAAUUAACAAGAAAAAUGAAGAUAAACAACCGUAAAUAUGACAGGUAAAUAAAUAAUUAUAAGGUAUCACCUAGAUAAUUGUGACAAAGUAAGAACAGCAGGUUUGUCUGUCUGUGUUUGUGUGUGUGUGUGUGUGUGUGUGUGUGUGUGUGUGUGUGUGUGUGUGUGUGUGACCGAAAGUGACAAUAUAAAUAAUAAAACUGAAUUUUCUUGUCGCGUGACGUGGUCGAACAUGUACUGACCUCGGCUUCGGCUUCCUCUCCCUUCCCUCUCCUCUUCCACUCCUCUCCCUUCCCUCUCCUCCUCUCGCAGAGUUACCAGCUGGCCGUGAAGUUGGAGCCCACACUCACCCACGCCCACGUCAACUUGGGCGCGCUCUACCACACAAAGGGUGACUAUACGAGGGCGUGGAGGCACUACCUUACCGCCCACGGCCUCGAGCCCUCCAACACCCUACUGCUGGAGAACAUGGAGAAGCUACGCCGAGCACAAGACUUGAAGACCACAGCGUCCGGACUCCCGCACUGCCUCACGAAGUCCUGAUGGUGGUGGAACCCGGGCCUCUGGUAGUUACUGUUGCCAAAUGUACGGGGCGUGGUCUGCCGUGGGCGUGGGCGUAAUGAUGGGCGUAAAGGUGGACGUGGUAUUGCUCGAAGGGGAAAGAUUUGGGAAGUAGUGGAGGAGGUGAAGUGUUGGUGGUGUGGGUUGCCUUUGCCGUGUUACUGCUGCUGCUGCUGCUACUACUGAUGCCGCCGCUGCUGUUCCUGCUACUGCUGAUGCUUCGUUUGGGUUAUUUCUAGUUUUUUAUGUUGUUAGUGUAGGUGUGGUGUUUGUGUUUGUUUCUGAUUUUUGUUUUAUUGUACCACGGUGCUGAUGAGGUGUUUUUGUGAUGGUGGUGGUGGUGCGGUGCGUGGCGCGUGUGGCUGUGUUGAUGAAUGUGUCUUUUGGCGAGCUGAUUGAAUACUGUUUGGUCUUUCGUUUUAGUUUUUUUUUUUUUUUCCAGUGUUGGGUGGAGGGAAUUCUGCAGUCAUCUGAACACACCUACACUCAAAUAAACACCAGGUUAUUGCUUCCACACCCCUGCUAUGGAAAAGGGAACACACACACACACACACACACACACACACAUACACACACACACACACACACACACACACACACACACACACACACACACACACACACGGAAUCCUUUGAAGCAGAUUUUCAUUUACCUUGUACUCACUGCAGUACACGACCCUUCUGUUACUCCUCCUCCUCUUUCUCCUCCUCCUCCUCCUCCUCCUCCUCUUCCUCCUCCUCCAGAUUGUUUAAAACGUGCGGUCCUCGUCUCCUACUCCGUUUCCUUCGCUUUCCAUCACGAGUGGAGGAAAAUGGGAUAUAAUUCAGAUAAAAUAAUAGGAGAGUGUCGAAGUGCCGCAGCCCGCAGAGUGAGGCAGGUGUUUCCAAGGUGACGUGUGGGACGCGGGGGGCGGAGGCGGGGAGGAGUGUGUGGGUGAAGAUUUUGCUGCGGACCUAACCAGACUGAAGGGGCUUGCUUGUUGUGGCUGUUGUUGUUGUGGUGAUUGCUGUGGUGGUUGUAGUUGUUGUGGUUAUUAUUAUUUUCACUUCUACUACUACUACUACUACUACUACAACUACCACUAUUAUAUUGUCAUUACUACUACUGCUACUAUUACUACUACUACUACUACUACUACUACUACUACUACUACUACUACUACUACCACCACCACCACCAUCAUUACUACUAGAAGACGCUCCGUAAAGUCAUAUUUUUUAAUCUUUUUACGUACUAUAUCAUCUACUUCCUUAAACAAUACUAAAAAAAACACUUCUCCCUUUAAAAAGAACACCCAGAAAUAUUCAAAUACACUACACACACACACACACACACACACACACACACACACACACACACACACACACACACACACACACACACACACAACACCAUCAAUAAAAAUCCUGUCUUUCCCCUUCCCCCUCCCCGUCUCCCCUUCCCCCUUAGCUAUCCUACAUCCCUCUCUUUACCCACCAUUUUUCUCUCCCCCAGUUUCCUCCUCCGUCUCCCCCCUCCCCACCUCGGCGCAGAGUAGUGCUGAUUGGGUGUCGCUGUUUUUCAGGUUCGGCUUGUCAGUUUCCCGUUUUUUGUCGCUUUUUCGUACGUUGGACCUGUAUUUGGGGCAUUGUGAGACUAAUGUUGUUAGAGAGAGAGAGAGAGAGAGAGAGAGAGAGUAUACUUGUGUGUGUGUGUGUACGAUGCAUGCUAAUUUCGAUAGACGGAACGUGUUAGCUUCCCUGCGAACAGUGCAAAUGGCAACCCUCAGAUAAUGCAACACUCCACGCCACACUGCACAACACGCCGCAACACAAAGCAAUACAUGUCACCGGGAUGCAACAACACACUGCCACACACACGUCAACACAUUACACUCCACUUCAUAACACCUCUCCCGCCACAACACUGCAAGCAAGCCAUAUUAACGCUCAUCACACACCGCACACUAUUCACCAUACAACACCACCACAAUACACGGCCACUCAUCACCAUCAUAUAUUGUUUUAGGGCACCACCUCACGCCACACCAUACUACAUACCAUAUCACCAUAACAUACAUCACCAUUCUAAUCACCACACCACUUACACGGAAAGCACAGCGCAAGGACGCCACGCUUUGAGCCACAGCAACACAGGAAGUUUAGGCCUCAGAUCCAGUCGAGAUGGAUAGGUGGAAGAGGAAUUACAGAACCAGACUAGAACCUCAAACCCAAAACAGAACAAGAGCAGGGGAAAAAGAAGAGUAGCUAAGGUGUGAGGGGAGGAAAAAUGCAAAAAUGCUCUAAAUUCACAUAGAAAAAUAAGAAAAUAAGGAUUGUGCGUUUUUUUUUUUUUUUUUUUUGGUGUAAUAUGAAGAAUAUAACCAGACAGAAUUAGAAACUCAACCAUAAAAAGAAAUAUAAAUAAAAGUAACAGAGGAGUAAGGAAAAAAAAAACUGUCACAUUGAAAACGGGGAAAAAAAUAGGGAUAUCACACUGCACUUGGUUUUUUUUUAUUUCCGUGCUUAGUUCACUCGGGGGAAAAAAAAAUGAGCAUUACUAUUAUUAAAGUAUUUGCGCCUUUUCUAGAAUGAUGCCAGCAAUUAAGGGAUGCAUGACUGGGAAUUACACGGCAACGCUCUGGAAUUAAAGCGGUAAUCAACAUAUUUCGGUUAAUGCACUGAUUUAUCGAAGAGUGCGGAGGGGCAAGGGAAAGAGGUGAUGAUGAUGAUGAUGAUGAUGAUGAUGAUGAUGGCGGCUAGUGCUGGCAACCGUGAUAUACCUGAGAGAGAAGGGAAAAUAAAAAGAAAUGAUUCGGCAGGUAGCGUGACGUGAUGAGUGAUGGACGUGACAGUGACAUGGUGAUGGUGAUGAGAGUGACGCAAUACCUGACAGGUGUGACGUGAAUUAGGGAAUUACUUCUCUCAUGGAUUUGUGUGAUUUAGUGACGCCAUUGACUUCUAUUACUACGACUAUAAAUGAAACAGCGUGCAAUGUAAUAGUAAAGAGUUAAAAAAAAAUAUUCGUGACAUUUCCUCGCGACACAUUUUCCUUUCCAAACGUCAUGAUGAAAAGCGGAAUGAAUUGUACCCUCGAGUUAGUGUACCCGAGGGUGGAAUUGUACCCAGCGUUGGUAAUUCCCUUCAUUCCUCCUCCAGUGUCAUGGGGAAAGUGUUAAAUAAAUAGCUUAUAUUUGCGUUCGUCACUUGCAAUGCUACUGCCGCCGACUCGGUUGCCGUCGCUGCUGCUGCUGCUAUUGCUACUGGUGACUGCUGACUUAUUGUGGCCUGCUGUGUACUCUUGAAAGUUGCGUCUUCUUUUCUUUUUUUUUUCAUUCUUUUCCUUUUCUGAUAGCUGCUGCCUCUUCUGACUGCUAUUACUAGUAACUCUGUUUUAUAUUACUGACUAACUGACUGACUGACUGACUGACUGACUGACUGACUGACUGACUGACUGACUACUACUACUACUACUACUACUACUACUACUACUACUACUACUACUACUACUACUACUACUACUACUACUACUACUACUAAUAAUAAUAAUAAUAAUAAUAAUAAUAAUAAUAAUAAUAAUAAUAAUACCACCACCACCACGACUGUAACCAUACUCGUACACUACUAAAAGAUCGCAGGAACAAACAAAACGACACUAACCUUGAAAAUUGACGACAUACGAGAGUAGAGAGAAUCACCAAGGGCACGGGGAUAAGGAGGAAAGUUGAGGAGAUAACAGAAAGUAAAGGACGUGAGAUGUAGCGAAGACAUAGGAGAGGUACAUGGGAUUUCUUCGCCCCCGCACCACCCUCAGGAGCCGCAUUAGGGGGAUUAAGUGGGCUACAGCCUCUUCGGGAGCUCCCAGGUCGAUGGUACCCGUUUGUUUUUUGCUGCCCAAGUUAUAAUUUAUCGUUAUGGCCGACCUACCGCUAACACUACUACUACUACUACUACUACUACUCUCUCUCUCUCUCUCUCUCUCUCUCUCUCUUAGUAGCGGUGGUGGGAAUGGAGUGCUGGAAUUUUAAUGGCGUGUUUCUUAGCCGCGUUGCCCUUUUUAUUAUUGUCAUUACUUUUUUCCCCUAACGAGGUAAUGGGAUCGUUUGUUAGCAUGACGUACGGUUACGGGGGGAGGCGGUGAAGAGGGUGUGUGCGUUGGCAAGACGUGUAGGAGUACUGGUAAACAUUGUGGGGCUAUUCCAGAGGCCAAAAGGGAUGCGAGGCCUACUCGUAUAGUCAUUUCACGGGGGUUUUAUGGGCCAGUGUUUGAGAUGGGAAGGUGGGAGCGUGGGAGGGUUCAGGUUAGGUGGUGGUGAAACUUUUAAAGGGAGAGAUGAUUUUAGGAGCCUUAACUGGAGAGCUACUGUGUUAAGGGAGUGUUAAAGGGGAGGGUGUUGGAUUCCUGUGUUGCCUGACGCUAGUGUUUCAUUCAUUCAUUCAUAUGUUCAUUCAUUCAUUCAAGAGCGAAGGUUCUUGUCGAGAGCGAGGCAGAGAGGGAGCUUUAGGAGUUGUUUUCAAGUGGAUGUUCUCUUCCAGUCGGGGUAAUAUUUAUGAUAUUGUUCAUUUUGAGUGACGUUACCUGGCUCUGAGAAACGUUUCAGUGACGUUUUAGUAAAUAUCUUAUGUUUGGCAAAAAUUUAAUGACUGUUUUCAAAGGGAUGUUCUUUUCCAGACUGGAGAAUAUCAAAGGAAUUGUACAUUUCGAGAACCUGAGUUGAUUUUAAAAAAGUUUUCAGGGUUUUCCCUAGAAAUUACUUUUUUUUUACUUGUUUUCAAGGGAAUCUGGUCCUUAGUUUGGGAAAUGUAAAAGUAAUUCUUAAUUCUAAGGACAUUAAUUUAUUUUUGGGAAAUUUAAGGGAUUUUGCAAAGUUUUAUGUGCUAUUUUCAAGGAGCUGUUUGCUUAAAUUUGAAGAUGGUGAAGAAAAUACUGAUUUUAAGGAACGUUAAUUGACUUGCCUUAAAAAUAGCUUGACUGACCAACACACCAACGCACCAAAUCAUUGAUUGACUGACUGACUGACUACCUGAUUGACCGCCAAGCUUCACUGAUUAGAUAACCAUUCCAGCAUUGAAGAUCGUCUGAUGAGGUAAACCAGUGAUUGACAAAAUUGAGUGAGGGGUGAAAUGACCGUCUUAUUGACACACUGACUGGCUGGCUGCGAGGAAGGUGUGUGUGUGUGUGUGUGUGUGUGUGUGUGUGUGUGUGUGUGUGUGCGCGCUCGCUCGCGUGUGUGCGUGCCUGCGCGCGCGAGGCGGUGGCGCGAGGCGAGAGGCUUUGUGAGUCCUAAGGGAGAUUAGAUUGUACAGCCACGCACUGCUCGGGGGAAGAAAAUACGUAAUUAGGUCAUUAGGGUUUAUUGUGUGUGUGUGUGUGUGUGUGUGUGUGUGUGUAUGUGUGUGUGUGUGGUUAUUUGUAUGUUUCUUAUUUUUGGGUGUGUAUAGGUCUAAAUGUGUGUUAGUUUAUUUUAUUAUUUCUAAGUGUGUUUAGGUGUGUGUGUGUGUGUGUGUGUGUGUGUGAAUGUGCGUGCGAGCGUGCGAAUACGGGCGUGCCAUGUAUAAUCCAAGCACACACGUCUGCAGCGCGGCUCACACAUCGAUCCCGCUUCGUCGUGGUGUGCGGGAAUCAAUCUGGUCGACAAGGCAGAGUGAUUUUCUGUGUUUAUCGGCAGCGAGGCGAGGCAGCGGCAGGUCACGCAGGACACCCACCCGCCCGCCGGCUGUUUGCUCGUGGAGUUGAGGACAAAGACAAAUAAUCAUAUACACUGUUAGUAAUCCGCUUGCUAGGUAUAACUAUUUACAAUUCUAUAUAUAUAAACGAGUAUAUACUACACCUACAUACUACAUACAAACGUUCUUAACCUUCGCUUGUAACAUGAAGGAUUACCGAAGGUUGCUGGAGGUGUGUAGGGGGACGGGUGGGUGGGUGGGUUGGGAGAGAGUAGCCCACAACACAGUGCCGGCGUGGGUCGGGCGGCGUGGCGUGGUGGUCACUGUAUAUAUGGUGUGUGCAUAACCCGUGUGUCAACCCAUACCUGUGUUAAGCCAAGUCCUGCUCACAUUCCGGGGCUGAGGGUGCUUGGACCACAAGGAAGCUUUGGGUUUUCAAAAAAUUACAUCAGCAUGUAUAAAAAAAGCAACGUUUUCAGUUUUCCUUGUGUUUUUGAAGUCAUCUCAGCCUCAUUCUAUCCCCCUCUGGUCGACUGGACUGUAGUUUGUACCGCUGUAGGUGUGAGCUAACCAGAAAAAUCGCUAUUUUUGUAGAAAGUAUGUAAUAAAUAUUUUCAUGAGCCGUA